rnacentral:rRNA from 1 species
UACGGGGGGAGCAAGCGUUGUUCGGAUUUACUGGGCGUAAAGGGCGCGUAGGCGGCCAGCACAAGUCAGUUGUGAAAUCUCCGGGCUUAACUAGGAAAGGUCAACUGAUACUGUGCGGCUAGAGUGCAGAAGGGGCAACUGGAAUUCUCGGUGUAGCGGUGAAAUGCGUAGAUAUCGAGAGGAACACCUGCGGCGAAGGCGGGUUGCUGGGCUGACACUGACGCUGAUGCGCGAAAGCCAGGGGAGCGAACGGG